AAAGUGUUAUUUGAACUCAGCUCUUCCCGAUUCCAAGUCCAGGGCUCUAGCCACUAUACCACUUAGCUUCCUAUGAUGCUGUUGAGCUAAUAGCCUACUGAUAUUGGUGGCAUUUUCAAGGUUGGUAUUCAUUUCCCCCUUCUUACCCGCACAAGGGUAACGAUCGAUUUAUAUUGAUCCAUCAACAUUCUUUCUUCUUCUUCUUGAGCUGUGGAAACAUGUCAAGGGAGCUGAAUGUGGGUAUGGGUGUUGCCUAUGGGUGUGAAAUGGACCAAAUAUAAGUGGGGUUGUGAAAUGAUGAUUAUGUCUCCAUUAAGCUGACAAAUGAAUACAUGAAUGAAUGAAUGGAUGAAUGAAUGAAUGCAUUUAUCGAUCCCUUACUACAUGCAAAGCAUUCUGCUAAGUUCAGGGGACAGAACUAGAAACGUGAGGCCAUCCCUCUUCUCAGGGGCUCCCAUUCCAAUUGGAAUAGAUGCCACACCGGGAAGGUCCGACUGCAGAGCAGAGAGAACACCCCACGAGAACUUUGGGUGCCGCAGCAGAGCCAAUGCGUUAGCAGAUGAGGUGAUAUCAAAGACUACCCUUUACUGACUCUAGCUGCAUUGCAAGGAUUGCCUGGAGCACGAAGAGUAGAACUGGGCAGUGAAGAGGCGAUGCGGCCGGGCGUUUCUGGAUUCUCUGGCAGGAAACCUCAUUUUGAGAAACUUCAGAUAGACUCAAGUGGACAGAUUUGCAUGUCUCCUCCACUGAUGAAGCUGACUGAUCACACUGCCUGACUCUUUUCUGUGUCCUCCCCAACAUUUCACAAAGGAGGUCCAUCCAAUGUGCUGACAUCCUUCCUCAUCUUCCCUGACAUAGGGAGGAUAGCAGUGGAGUGCUGGCUGUCCACUGAUGGUCCAAUGCCUGCUGUCCAUGACCAGCCUCUUCUCUUCUUAGCAGACAUUUCACACUCUAGCCUGAAGGCUGAAAACCAAAACAAAACACUCUGUUUUCACAUUUUGCAUCGAAACUUUGCAUAAUCCUCCUUUUAAGUCUCUGAUUGCUAUAAUGAAAUAUUUA